UUCCGCCCACAAAUGCCUCGCUUGCUGCUGGUAAAUGCACCUCGGGCAACCCUGCUCCUUCGCCUCCGGGUCGAACGGAAUGGCUUCCUCGUCCUCGUCUUCGUCGUAUCGGGCUGCCUCCGGGGCGGAGGACUCUAGACUCGAACUCGCCAAAAAGAUACGAAGCCAUGAGGUCGCAAUCGCGGAAAUGAACAGCCUCGCGCCGUCUCGAGUGAGUCUCUCCAAAUCCCCCCGUCGCCUUCUUUCUUUCCUCGAACUCUAUCUUGAGAGUUUUGGUAGCGAUGAUUCUUGAACGAUGGGUUGAAUUAUUGUCAUGGAUUAAUCUAUCAAGAAAACCCGAAAGCAUGGAUGGACGAUCAAAAGGUACAAAUCUUUUUGAUGGGAAUACUAGGGUUAUUGAGUCACCCUAGGGUUUUAGAUAUCAGGAUUCUGAGGUUAUGGUAUAGGUUUUAGCUCCGUCUGAGAUAAUUGAGGUUUUGAUGUUAUGGUAUUUGGGAUGUUGAGAGAUAUGGUGAGCAAUACUAAGUUUUACCUUGACGUCCACCUUAUUUCUGAUGAUAAUCCCCUUGUAUCCUGGUGCUUCCAUCAACGGAUGUUUGUAUCUCUCGAGCUAUCUGUAUUUCAUAUGCCUAAAAAGAUUCAUGGUUUUUUAAAAAUGUUAUGAAUCCUAAAAUUUAUCUUUUAGGUAAUCUUCUGUUGGUACAUGGAGAGAAAAAAAGAUGCUUUUGUGAUGUAAGAUAUUGUUGCUCAACAUGUUUUCAGAAUAUGAAAUCUAUAAUCCAUUACCAUAGAUGUUUGAUAGAUUUGAAAUUAUCUUGAUUCAAUUACAAGAACCAUCAUAUCUUCAUGCAAAUUGAUUGUGUGUUCGGCAAAUCUAGAACAGUGACCUGUAAGCCUAUGGCAGCUUUAUCUCACAUCAUCUCAGGUUAGUACCACCAGGAGCCUAUUAGAGUUGUCGAGCCUGCCAAGCUAUACAAAAUCCCAAAAUAAUUUUUCCCUUAUUUCUCAUGAUCUAAAAUACCGACCUUUUUUCUACCAAUCAUUAACCUUUCUCAGAGCCAGAAUUCAUUAACA